UCAGGGAAGCCAGUCAUAGGCCAGACCCAUAACUGGACCCAAAUUAGUGGGUGUAAGAAGAAGUGGGUAUUGAGUGCCCAACUCAAUAAAUACUGGUUGAAUUGAAUUAAAUAUCCCCACUGAGAUACAGACCUCUUAGGGGUUGUUUGGUUGCAAAAGCCAGAAACUGAGAUGACCAGCUAAAGCCUAAAAGGGAAAUAUACCAGAAGGAUACAUGGAUUUCUGUAUGAGAGAAUGCACAGGAAGUGGAAACCUACCAGGAUUGGAGGAGAAUGCUCUUUAAGGCGGGCAAUACCUAUGACAAAUACUAGGACGUGAUGGUGCAAGGUUAGAAGAGUGGACGUGACAACCAGCACCCACUUUAGGAAGUAGUAUCUGAAGGCUGUAACUCUUCAAGUCUGAUGACUCAGCCACCCAGAUCCCAGGUGAUGGAAAACCAACGUCAGCUAUCUUAGGUUAAAAGGAGGUUUUUAUUGGAAGAAUCAAAAAAGAACGGGAAGUUCUGCAGAAACCUGAGCUGUUCUGGAACACCAGCAGUGGGAACUGGGGAGGAGAGGCUGCCGGGCUAG